rnacentral:rRNA from 1 species
UACGUAGGGGGCAAGCGUUAUCCGGAUUUACUGGGUGUAAAGGGAGCGUAGACGGCAAGGCAAGUCUGAAGUGAAAGCCCGGUGCUUAAAGCCGGGACUGCUUUGGAAACUGUUUGGCUGGAGUGCCGGAGAGGUAAGCGGAAUUCCUAGUGUAGCGGUGAAAUGCGUAGAUAUUAGGAAGAACACCAGUGGCGAAGGCGGCUUACUGGACGGUAACUGACGUUGAGGCUCGAAAGCGUGGGGAGCAAACAGGAUUAGAUACCCUGGUAGUCCACGCCGUAAACGAUGAUUGCUAGGUGUAGGUGGGUAUGGACCCAUCGGUGCCGCAGCUAACGCAAUAAGCAAUCCACCUGGGGAGUACGUUCGCAAGAAUGAA